GGCUCAGGAUGAACGCUAGCGGCAGGGCUUAACACAUGCAAGUCGAGGGGUAGAGGAAGCUUUGCUUCCUUGAGACCGGCGCACGGGUGCGUAACGCGUAUGCAACCUACCUUUUACAGAGGGAUAGCCCAGAGAAAUUUUGGAUUAAUACCUCAUGGUAUAUAUCAUUCGCAUGUUUGAUAUAUUAAAGUUCCAACGGUAAAAGAUGGGCAUGCGUCCUAUUAGCUAGAUGGUAAGGUAACGGCUUACCAUGGCAACGAUAGGUAGGGGUCCUGAGAGGGAGAUCCCCCACACUGGUACUGAGACACGGACCAGACUCCUACGGGAGGCAGCAGUGAGGAAUAUUGGACAAUGGGCGCAAGCCUGAUCCAGCCAUGCCGCGUGCAGGAAGAAGCAUCUAUGGUGUGUAAACUGCUUUUGUACGGGAAGAAACACUCCUUCGUGAAGGAGCUUGACGGUACCGUAAGAAUAAGGAUCGGCUAACUCCGUG
rnacentral:rRNA from 1 species